CCUACGGGUGGCAGCAGUAGGGAAUCUUUCACAAUGGGCGAAAGCCUGAUGGAGCAACGCCGCGUGCAGGAUGAAGGCCUUCGGGUUGUAAACUGCUUUUAUAAGCGAGAAAUAUGAUGGUAACUUAUGAAUAAGGAUCUGCUAACUACGUGCCAGCAGCCGCGGUCAUACGUAGGAGCCGAGCAUUAUCCGGAGUGACUGGGUGUAAAGAGUUGCGUCGGGGGCAUAAUAAGUAGCUAGUGAAAUCUGGUGGCUCAACCAUUCAGACUAUUAGCUAAACUGGUAAGCUCGAGACCGUUAGGGGUAACUGGAAUUUCUAGUGUAGGAGUGAAAUCCGUAGAUAUUAGGAGGAACACCAGUAGCGUAGGCAGGUUGCUGGGACGGUUCUGACGCUAAGGCACGAAAGCGUAGGGAGCAAACGGGAUUAGAUACCCCUGUAGUC
rnacentral:rRNA from 1 species